AUCGUGAAACGUUGAUUGGACGGUGGGUAUGAUGUACGUUUCAUCAUCCGCAUCUGUAAUA
rnacentral:antisense_RNA from 1 species